rnacentral:rRNA from 1 species
CAAUAGCAUAUAUUAACGUUGUUGCAGUUGAAAAGCUCGUAGUUGAACUUUUGGUAGGAGCGACCUGGCCUUGGGCGCAUGCCCUUGUUUGCCGUGUGUCGUAUCUGGCCAUCCUUUUCUUCUUUUUGGAAGGAAUCCUUUACUGUGAGUAAACUGGAGUGCUCAAAACAAGACGUUUGUUUGGUACAUUAAAGCAUGGAAUAAUAAGAUAGGACCUGGUUACUAUUUUGUUGGUUUGCAUAGCUAGGUAAUGAUUAACAGGGACAGUUGGGGGUAUUCGUAUUUAAUUGUCAGAGGUGAAAUUCUUGGAUUUAUGAAAGACGAACGACUGCGAAAGCAUUUACCAAGGAUGUUUUCAUUAA